AUUGAACGCUGGCGGCAAGCCUAACACAUGCAAGUCGAACGAGUGGCGGACGGGUGAGUAAUGUCUGGGAAACUGCCCGAUGGAGGGGGAUAACUACUGGAAACGGUAGCUAAUACCGCAUACCAUCGGAUGUGCCCAGAGGGGAUUAGCUAGUGGGUGGGGUAAAGGCUCACCUAGGCGACGAUCCCUAGCUGGUCUGAGAGGAUGACCAGCAACACUGGGAAUGAGACACGGUCCAGACUCCGACGGGAGGCAGCAGUGGGGAAUAUUGCACAAUGGGCGCAAGCCUGAGGCAGCCAUGCGGCGUGUAUGAAGAAGGCCUUCGGGUUGUAAAGUACUUUCAGCGGGGAGGCGUUACACGCAGAAGAAGCACCGGCUAACUCCGUGCCAGCAGAGGCGGUAAUAC
rnacentral:rRNA from 1 species